AUGCUGUCACCGCCGUUAACAGCACGUGGAGGUUUGUUAAAGGUACAGGGACCGCUGCAGCCAGGCGGGGGCGGGGCGAAGUCCCGGGAGCUGGAGAGGAGUGGUCUGCUUUAAGUGGCCGGACUACUGAAGAAGAGCCUCCUGGAAGUGGAGGUAGUGGGAGGCAUAGUUCUUAGUCAAUACCAGCAAUAGCCAGCCGAGAAUAUGGGGGAACAGGUGCCUGCAAGAUGAUUCCAGGCGGUGGAUGGAGCGCUGAGAAGGGGUGUGGUGGGAGAUGACUGUAGUCCUGUUGUCUGCCAGCCUCUGAAAUGGGAGCCACAAGAACCAUCUAGACAAGCACCUAGAACUGUGCCAGAUCAGGCAGAAGACCAGGAUGUAAAGCUGUCUGCUACUACUCCAGUGACUUGCCUGUCUCCUUCCUGCUAUGACGAUCAUGAACGUUACCCUCUCAAAGUCUAUGUGGGGGUUGACUGGCUCUGGGGAAAAGUGUUGUUGGCUAGUAUAGGUGGCUGGCGACAAAGGGCAGAGUGCAAGGGGGCGGCCAGCGCAGAAGUCUCGGCACUCAUCAGAACUGCGGUCCUGGCUGGUCUGAGGAUCAGAACUACCUGGCCUAAGACCUGAAGAGACCCAAAGGCUGAAGCCAUUUCCUGGCCACUCCAUAUGACAGUGACUCCAACUCCAUCAUAUCUGGUGAUCAUCUGCCUCAAAACCAAGCAAAGGGCCCCAAAAGAUUUCUGAUGGAAAUGUGAAACCCCUCUGCCCUGGGGCCCUCAGGAAAGCUGCUCAUGAAAACACCUUAUGGAGAGCACACCUUAAGAGACAGACCUGCAAAUGCAUUUGAGAAACAAAGACCUGAGCUCUGGCUGUGGAGGGAGAAGGAGAUGAGCCAUGCAGGAAUUUUCAUGACAAAAGCCACCAACAACACUUAUUUGGUCCACCCAGUGAGUAAAAUUUCCUUGUUUUCAUUUGUAUUUUUUUGAGACAAGGUCAGCUACAUAGCCCAGGCUAGUCUGCAACUAAGUAGCCUAGGGUGGACUCAAACUCUCAAUCUUUUGGCCUCAGCCUUGCACCACACCCAGCCUGGGUUCUGGGUUUAGAGCAAGCUGGAAAUGAGCUCACAAAUCCUUUAACCCACACAAAAGGACAGUCCAGACACACCACCAACUAAACAUACAAGGAAGUGGAUGACCUUCUCCAAAGAGAUUACUCCAAGUUCACAGCUCACACGGAUUAAAAUGAGGCCACCUGUAAUCCUAUCAACUCAGAUGUAUUUUUGAAUGCUCUAUACAACCUUCACAGCAAUGUCUCUCUGCCUUUCACUCCGUGGUCCUUACCCACCUGACCCAAAAUAAUGAGUAGUAUUUUCAGUGUCUGGAAGCAGAGUUUCCGAGUGCAGAUGAAACAUAGAUGGAAUAAAGGUAAUUUAGGGGGAACGGUCCAUUUCUACCAUGGGAAUGGACGGGAGAGGUCAGGGUCUAGAAAACUGCUGAGCCCAUGUCAACGCCAGAGCCUACUGGCUGGCUGCAAGAAGCUUUAAACGUUGUUACAAGGGCCAAGAUUGGGCAAUACUUGCUUAAAGUAAGCUUGGGGAUUGCCACAUACCUAUGGCCAAGGACUUGUCACUGCUUAGUACAAGGGAGUAUAACUUCUCCAAAACACUUAACCAGAAGAACUAAGAUGUUCAAGACCCUAAUACGAACUUCCCUACCUGCUGGAAAGGCUUGGGCUUUUUAUUCAAACAUCUAUCAUAAUCUCUACUGCUGUUCUCCUCUUUGACAGGCUUCCACAGGCCCAAA